ensembl:lncRNA
UUCUAUUCUUCUUCUUCUUCUAUUCUUCUUCUUCUUCUAUUCUUCUUCUUCUUCUUCUUCUUCUUCUUCUUCUUCUUCUUCUUCUUCUUCUUCUUCUUCUUCUUCUUCUUCUUCUUCUUCUUCUCCUUCUCCUUCUUCUCCUUCUCCUCCUCUUUCUCCUCCUCCUCUUUCUCCUCCUCCUCCUCCUCUUUCUCUUUCUUUAUUCUUCUUCUCCUUCUUCCUUUACCCUCCUUGAAGAUCUCCAAGAUUAAGAGCAGUGAUUCUGUGUUGUAGCUGACUUUACCCCGGACAUAUUAGAAAAGGCUCGAGCAUUAAGAGCGGAGGACGGGCAAGCAGGCUCAGCGUCAUGCAGAGAACACACACGUGGGGAAGGAGCGGUCAGUGGCUGACUCUGACAGCGUUGGAUGACUCUCAGAUCACAUAGUUCCCAAAGGAUUUUCUACAUAACCGUGCGGGGAUCGUAGUGUUGGAAGAAACUUCCGAGAUCAUCUCUUCUCACCACUACCAGCUUCCCUACAGCACCUGCUCGUCCAAUUUACAGCUUAAAAGACCUUUUUUUGAAGCAGGGAAUGCACUAUUUCAGGAGACAAUUUCUAAGAGUUAGGGAGCUUUUUCUUUUAUCGAGCUGAAAUCUACUUCCCUGCGACUGCCCUCAAUGUUCCCAAUUCUGCCCUCUGGAAUCAAAAGGAAUCUCUCCCAUAUGAAAACUCUUGAAAUAUUCUAAGAGAAGCCACAUCCCUCCCCCCUUUUCUUUUCUUCUCUAUGGUAAAUGACCCAGUUCUUUCAAUUGGCUCACAUAUGGACUGAUUUGAAGUUUCCUCAAUGCUGGUUGCCCUUCUCUGGACCAAUGCAGAUUUGUCACUGUGCAACUCACCACAGCUGAUUACAGAUGUGGAGUAGAUCAUUAUUAAGCCUCUACACUGAUUUUUCUUAUUUCUAACUCCCAAAUUCUUGCCUCUUUUUCAUACAAAAUCACCCAAGUCUUAGUUGGUAGGUAAUUGACUUAGAAUUUGUGUUUCAUUUUCCCCAUAGAAACACCAAACAAUUACAUAAUAAAAUUACUAUUAGUUAGGUGCCUAGGUCAACUCACAAAUCUUGUUUCACUCAUAAUUAGUUGAACCAUUGCCCUAAAUUCUGAUAAUGUCUCUUGAAUGAGAGAGAAAAAAAGGAAUAUAUUCUUUCCCUUUUCCUGGAUACAGAGUGAACUCUUGAAAAAGCUGCUUUUUUUUCUCUUUGAUAUACCUACUUUUUUACAUUCUCCUGUAUCUCAAGUAACUCAAAUGGUCCUAACCUCCUCAGCAUUCCACCUAGUUAUCAUCUCAUCCCCCAAAGUUCUUUUUUUUUUUUUUUUUUUUUUUUUUGCAAAAGUUACCCAUCUUUAUCCCAUCCACAAAAAUGUUUUCAGCUCUCACUUCUGCUGCAAGGUGUUGAAGAAAAUAAUCUGAAUGGACAAAUUCACACUCAUAAUCAAAUGACUGUUAACACACUAAGCCUCACUCAGCCUCUCAACAGCAUUUGCAUUUGUAAAACAGGGCAUUUGUUAACCUAAAUGGAUCUCAAUUUAGUAGCAUUUCAGCUAUUAUGUAUUUUUUAAAAAGUGAAGUAAAAGGUAAUUCCAACAGAUAGGGAAAGGCCAUAGAGAAUGAGAAAUAUUUUGGGACAAUUUAGCCACAUGUCACAAGUAGGCUAGCUUUGCUUGUCAAUAUUCUUACUUUGGUAUUAACAGGGGAAAGAUUCCAUUCUCCUAAACUAUUUUUAUUUUACUCUUCUCCACUUUUUUGCAUACCGAUUUUCUAAAUGCAUAGCAAUGACAGUAAUCCUUUAGAUGUAGAAGUUAGGCUGGCCCCUUAUGUACAUGUGGAUGAUUUAUUAAUUCAACCUCAAGUCAGAGGUUGUAUGUUCCUAGAAUCUUUCCUGAUCCACUUAUCCCUAGUGGUUGUUUUUAUUUUGGGUUCUCUGAAGAAUAAGAAUAUAGGUUAAAAAAAAUUAUAAGAAAUAGGGAUUUUAUAAUGGCAGUGGACUCUGAUGUAGUAGACUUGGGCCCAACCUUGGCAAGUCAAGAUACUUUACUAAGCCUCAAUUUCCUUAUCUAUUAAAGAAGAGGGCUUUAUUUCAUGAUUUCCAAGUUUUCUUGAAGAUUUAAUCCUCACAUACUAUGAUGUAUCCAGACAUUCUGUUUCAUACUAAACAAGAGAAUUCUCUCCUCCCCCCUUUAAACUUUAUGGAUUCACUAUAAAAAUAAUAGAAGAGGGAGAAAAAAGGUAUCAAUAAAUUAUGUAGAAAAUUUUGAUAAUUCAGACUUGCUUUGCUUGUAUUGAUAGUUUCUGCAAAUGUAAUCAAAGUUGCCUCUUUCUCUGGAUUCUUUUUUUUUUUCCCCUGAGGCAAUCGGGAUUAGGUGACUUUCCCAGGGUUACACAGCUAGGAAGUGUUAAAUGUUUGAGAAUUUUGAACUCAGGUCCUCCUGACUUCAAGUCUAGUGCUCUAUCCAUUUCGUCACCUAGCUGCCCCCUUGCCUCUUUCUCAUAGGAGGCUUACUACCCUGGGAGAAAAGUCUCAGAUAGUUUCCAGGACCUUCCAGACAAAAUGAGUCUGUAGGACAAGUGAAAUAUUAUGGAGCUGAAAUGGGAAAGAGGCCAGUAAUAUCUUUUUGUUCAACCACAAAGAAUAUUUCCUUGCAGGCAUAAAGAUAAUGGGUCAGCUUAUCCAUAACCGUUUUUGCUAUGUGGCUGUAAUUCAGAAACAUAUGAAUAGUGGAAAAGACUGAUAUACUACAGAUGCUGGUGAUGGGAGGGAUGGAAGGAGGCUCCUUGUUGGAUGGAAGAAUGUGAAACCUAUGGAUAGUGAUACUCACUCUAGAAGGCUCAUUUUUCCUAUUUCCAGAUCCAUUCCCCAACUAUAACAGCUGAGGGGAAGGAGAGCAAAGAACAGGUGGUAAUCCACCAGCCCUCUGGCUAUAGUGAAAGGUGGAGAAGGAGGAUCUUGGGAAAGGAGGAGAACAAGCUUCUGUUUUUUUUUUUUUGUUUUUUUUUUUUUUGGCCUUAGGCCACGUAGUUUACUUUCAAGUUUCAUUUAACUAAUUUUGCCCCCUUAAUCAUGAUUUGUGAUUUCAUCAGGGUACUUUGGGAUGGGAAACUCCUUACUUGAUGCCAAAAUUUCUAUAAUUUCUCUCAUUUAAAGAAUUUUCUGGAUUUCUGAGAUAGUAAAAGACUAGUUCAAGGUCACACAGCUCAUGUGCAUCAAAGCAGAAGGAUUUGAAUUUAGGUCUUCCCGACUCUUAAAACCGUCUCUGUACAACCUCAGGGUGUUUCUUAAUGCAGCUGUAUCAUGGGGAAAAUGAGUUUUGUGGGUCUAUUUCUAUGAGAAAAUGCACUAUGAUUCUCCAACACAUUUUUGUUCCUACUAAUGGGCUACCUGUAUAUAUAUAUAUAUAUAUAUAUAUAUAUAUAUAUAUAUAUAUUUAAAAUCCCCAUUAUUAAUAGUUCUGGAAUUUUUAUCUUUACUGAAUAGAGAUGGUCUAGUCAGUUUAUGUUUAGAUAUCACACUCAAUUAUUGUUUUUUUUUCCCUGCCUCCUUGUAAAUUUUUAGUGGUUAGGCAUGGAGUAGGAGAAAACUUCUGAAGAUUUCCUUCACUGAAAACUUCCACUUCUCUUCCUCUGCUGAGAGAGAGGACAUUCAAUACCCCAGUAGAAAAGCUCAAGAACACACUACAAGUUUCCAGUUCCACUUCAUUUAAACUUCUUGCUACUUUGUCCUUCUCUACCUACUCCUUGCUAGGUCUGAUUUACAGAUUUUUGCUUAGUGUUCUAGUCAUAGCAGAUGGAACAGAGAACUCCAAGCAUCAUGCACAGCUAGAUCCCACAGAGCCCCCUAAUGGCCGAGAUGAAGACAGUGCCUGGCCUAAUUAAGUGGAACUUUUUGACCUUUUGUGGGUGAGUCAGGAAAGAAAGAAAUUCUAAUGGGACUAUUUUCUGCAAUACAAAACAGGUUCUGGCCCUUAGCACUAUGAACACAUUGCCCCUCUGGUUGCUGUAUGUGUCUCAUGCUGUGUUAUACACCAGCCAUGUCUCAAUAUUCAAAAUUUUACACCAAAGUACAUAAAUUAUAGAUACCGGCUCUUCCUCUUAUAUGUAACCACAACAUUAUGAACCAGAAUUUUAGGUCUUCUGGAAUGAUCUUAAGUGUACUUUCCCACUGUUUACUUAGCCUGAGAAAGUUGAUGGAAAAGUUAAUACCAGAAUCUAGAUUAAUUCUAGGUUAGGAUAAGUGAUAUGUAUAAAACUAUUGUCUUUUUUCCUUCCUUCCUUUGUUCCUUCGUUCCUUCGUUUCUUCCUUCCUUCCUUGCUUCCUUGCUUCCUUCCUUCCUUUUUCACUUCUUCCUUUCUUUCUUUUUUCUUUUCUUGAUUUCUUCCUUCCUUCCAUUUCCAAGUCACAUCUCAGAGCUUUGGCUUUCAUCUCUAACUGGUACUCCAGUUUCUUCCAUGGACACUGGGCUUCUGAUCAUUGAUGACUCACCAAAACUAACCCAACCAAGACCUACUCUUAAAUGUACUCUUUAGUUGUUUACUCCUUUCUCUGACAUCCUUGACGAAAGUACCUUUCUGUAAUACCACUUCUUUAUACAUUUUGUUUUUCUCCAUUAGGGUGAAGCUCCUUGAAAGCAAGAGGUGUAUGUAUUUAAAUGCUUAACAAAAUGCCCUGACAUAGAGUACACAUUUAAUAAAUCCUUCCUUUCUCCCUUUUCUUCUCCCUUUCCUUCUUUCUUUCCUUCUGGAAGUGUUGGCACAAGGUUUGUGAGGCAAACAGGAAAAAUUUUUAUACCUGAUAAUUUUAUAUAAAAUGGUGUCUAAAUUAAUGCUGAAGUAAAGCAUGACACUAAGUAAGACUGAAAGAUAUUUGAAAUCUGGGAUUAGAUAUGUCCACUUAUAGAAUUCUGUCAAUUGCAUAAUGAAAGUGUAUUACCAACAGUCAGAAGAAACAGGAUUUUCCAGUAUAUUUGUUUGUAUGGAUAAAUAGAUAGAUAGAUAGAUAUCAUACACACAUACUAUAUAUACAUAUACAAACUCAUAUGUAUAUAUGUAAUAAUACAGCUAUAUAAACAUCUAUAUUUAUAAUCAUACAUACACACAUACAUUUAUAGCUGUAUGUCUGGUGAUUUCAACCCUGUUAUAAAUACUUCCUCCAAGGAAGAGUUGCCUCAAAUACUAAGAAGCAAAAUGACUUAUCCAACAUUUUUCAGCAAGUAUAAAUCAGUUAUAAAACUUGAAUCCAUUUCUUCCUAGUGCUAUGAUUAGCCUCCUAUCUACUAAGGCACAUUGCCUUUCUCCCUUUUGUACUACUAUUGUUACCAUUUCUAUUGUUGUUGCUGCUUAAUUAUAAUAAGUUGGUAACUUAUUAUAUGAGUUUAUCAAAAUUAUGUCACCUCUAUAGUUCUCAGUUUAUACUUCAUAAAGAUCUAUAGGUCUCAUAUGAACAAAAAAUGUUUUAGCAGCUCGUUUUGUAGUGGCAAAGAACUGGAACCUGAGUGGACGCCCAUCAGUUGGGGAAUGGUUGAACAAGUUAUGAUACAUGAAAGUAAUGGAAUAUUAUUAUUCUAUAAAAAACUAUAAGUAGACUGGUUUCAGAAAAGCUUGCAAAGGCUUACAUGAACUGAUGCUGAGAGAAGUGAGCAGAACCAGGAGAACAUUAUACACAGUAACAAAAAGAUUAUAUAACAAUCAACUGUGAUAGAUUUGGCUAUUCUCACAAGGUGGUGAGUCAAGGGAGUUUCAAUGGACUUGGGAUGGAAAAUGCCAUCUAUAUCCAGAGAGAGAACUAUGGAGACUGAAUAUGGAUUGAAGGAAAAUAUUUUCACCCUGUUUUUGUUUGUUUUCUUUCUUGUGAUCUGAUUUUUCUUGCAAAACAUGACAAAAAUCGAAAUAUAUUUAAAAGGAUAAACAUAUUUAACCUAUAUCAGAUUGCUUGUUGUCUUGGAAAGGGGGAGGUAAUAAAGGGAGAAAAAUUUAGAACACAAAGUUUGACAAAAAUGAAUGUUGAAAACCAUCUUUACAUGUAUUUGGAAAAAUAAAACAGUAUUGAGGGAAAAAAAAUCUAUGGGUUUGUGAAUUUAUGAUCUUAAAAUCCUUGUUGGCAUCAU